CACAAACAAAGCAGCUAAAGAUGGAGGUUAAGGCCAGUCGACUGCUUCCAGAUGUCCAUGAGCAGGAGACGAGGACAGCAGCAAACUCCAGCUUAACAUAAGAUGGAGAGGCUGUUGGGAUUUCUGAGGGACCAGAGAUCUUUUGGCUGCAACUCAGAGGAGGGUUUGGGAACUGGAAGUCAGAAAUCAGGAGUUCGAGACCAGCCUGGUGAAGCCCCAUCUUUAC